AGACUGCAGGGCAGGCACAAGAGCAGCCUGACUGUAAAGGGUACAAAGUGGGAAAAGGAAAUGGCUGUUGGACCAAUCACAGUAAAGGAGAAACCUCUAAGAUGGAAAAAGGACCUUAUUCAAUAAUAAAGGUCUUUUACACUAAUUAGGCCCAAGUUUGUGUCCUUGGUUUGUUUUAAGGUUGGUGUUAAUUAAAAAAAAAAAU